UCCUGGUAAUUUAGUCUUAUGUGUACCACCUCUUCCCAUUCCGAACAGAGAAGUGAAAGCAUAAGACCCUGAUGAUACUUACGGCUUCGGCUGUUGGGAAAGUAGGGUUCGCCGGGAU
rnacentral:rRNA from 2 species